rnacentral:other from 1 species
GGCACCCUGCCGUGUGCGUGAUCGGCACGUCUUACAAUGACCUGGACACCAAUUGAAAAGGGAGCCCGGACUCCGCUGAUGGCGUGUAUGCCCCCCUCCGCCGGAGGCCAGGGGACACACAAAGUCAGCGGGAGGGCACCCACCUGCCGGGGAUGCAGGUUCAUUGGGCGGCGACACGGCUCGGUGGGGGCAG